ACGAAGGGGGCUAGCGUUGUUCGGAUUUACUGGGCGUAAAGCGCACGUAGGCGGAUUGUUAAGUCGGGGGUGAAAUCCUGGAGCUCAACUCCAGAAUUGCCUUCGAUACUGGCUUUCUAGAGGCUGGAAGAGGUUAGUGGAAUUCCCAGUGUAGAGGUGAAAUUCGUAGAUAUUGGGAAGAACACCAGUGGCGAAGGCGGCUCACUGGCUCAUUACUGACGCUCAGGCGCGAUAGCGUGGGGAUCAAACAGGA
rnacentral:rRNA from 1 species